AGCAUAUCAAUAAGCGGAGGAAAAGAAACCAACAGGGAUUGCCCUAGUAACGGCGAGUGAAGCGGCAACAGCUCAAAUUUGAAAUCUGGCUCUUUUAGAGUCCGAGUUGUAAUUUGCAGAGGGCGCUUUGGCUUUGGCAGCGGUCCAAGUUCCUUGGAACAGGACGUCACAGAGGGUGAGAAUCCCGUACGUGGUCGCUAGCUAUUGCCGUGUAAAGCCCCUUCGACGAGUCGAGUUGUUUGGGAAUGCAGCUCUAAAUGGGAGGUAAAUUUCUUCUAAAGCUAAAUAUUGGCCAGAGACCGAUAGCGCACAAGUAGAGUGAUCGAAAGAUGAAAAGCACUUUGGAAAGAGAGUCAAACAGCACGUGAAAUUGUUGAAAGGGAAGCGCUUGCAGCCAGACUUGCUUGCAGUUGCUCAUCCGGGCUUUUGCCCGGUGCACUCUUCUGCAGGCAGGCCAGCAUCAGUUUGGGCGGUGGGAUAAAGGUCUCUGACACGUUCCUUCCUUCGGGUUGGCCAUAUAGGGGAGACGUCAUACCACCAGCCUGGACUGAGGUCCGCGCAUCUGCUAGGAUGCUGGCGUAAUGGCUGUAAGCGGCCCGUCUUGAAACACGGACCAAGGAGUCUAACAUCUAUGCGAGUGUUUGGGUGUCAAGCCCGAGCGCGUAAUGAAAGUGAACGGAGGUGGGAACCCGCAAGGGUGCACCAUCGACCGAUCCUGAAGUUUACGGAAGGAUUUGAGUAAGAGCAUGGCUGUUGGGACCCGAAAGAUGGUGAACUAUGCUUGAAUAGGGUGAAGCCAGAGGAAACUCUGGUGGAGGCUCGCAGCGGUUCUGACGUGCAAAUCGAUCGUCAAAUUUGGGCAUAGGGGCGAAAGACUAAUCGAACUAUCUAGUAGCUGGUUCCUGC
rnacentral:rRNA from 1 species